CCCUUAGAUGUUCUGGGCCGCACGCGCGCUACACUGAUGCAUUCAACGAGUCUAAAACCUGCUCUGAUAGGGGUGGGUAAUCUUUUGAAUGUGCAUCGUGAUUGGGAUAGAUGAUUGCAAUUUUUCAUCUUCAACGAGGAAUGCCUAGUAAACGCAAGUCAUCAGCUUGCAUUGAUUACGUCCCUGCCCCUUGUACACACCGCCCGUCGCUCCUACCGAUUGAAUGAUCCGAUGAAUAUCAUGGAUUGAGGAUGUAAGCAGGUUCGCCUGUCUUCAUCUUCGAGAAGUGAAGUAAAUCUUAUCAUUUAGAGGAAGGAGAAGUCGUAACA
rnacentral:rRNA from 1 species